rnacentral:rRNA from 1 species
UACGGAGGGUGCAAACGUUGCUCGGAAUCAUUGGGCGUAAAGCGCACGUAGGCGGUUCGUUAUGUCGGAUGUGAAAGCCACGGGCUUAACCCGAGAAGUGCAUCCGAAACUGGCGGGCUUGAGUACGGAAGAGGGGCUCGGAAUUCCCGGUGUAGAGGUGAAAAUCGUAGAUAUCGGGAGGAACACCAGUGGCGAAGGCGGAGACCUGGGCCGAUACUGACGCUGAGGUGCGAAAGCGUGGGGAGCAAACAGG